rnacentral:rRNA from 1 species
UACGGGGGGGGCAAGCGUUGUUCGGAAUUACUGGGCGUAAAGGGCUCGUAGGCGGCCAACUAAGUCGGAUGUGAAAUCCCCAGGCUUAACCUGGGAACUGCAUCCGAUACUGGAUGGCUUGAAUCCGGGAGAGGGAUGCAGAAUUCCAGGUGUAGCGGUGAAAUGCGUAGAUAUCUGGAGGAACAUCGGUGGCGAAGGCGGCAUCCUGGACCGAUAUUGACGCUGAGGCGCGAAAGCCAGGGGAGCAAACGGG